rnacentral:lncRNA from 1 species
GGAGGGUGCCGGUCAGCGGAGCCGUGCGAUGUAUUUGAAAAGCAAUCAGUCCGACCUUCCCCCAUAGAUUCAUCCUGCCUGAAAAUCAUAUGCGUGGUUUUUCCUGUUUCCUGCUCUGUAGCUGACAUCAGGGGAGCAACGUGAACACAGGAAAAUGGAAAUCAACAUUUGAAACUUUUAAAUGGAAGCUUUAUUGGGGUUCCACAUAUGGAAAACUGCAAAUAGCAGAAGUAUGUGACUCAAUAAAUUAUUCUGGAGUGACCACAUCCUCUAACUGCCUCCCAGGACAAGACGGAGAAUGUGAACAAUGCUCCUGAAGGCCCCUUUCCCUCAAAGAAUCACUGCAAUUGAAGGAAAAAUGCUCCAUGUCCCCUCUGCCAGUUGGUGUUUAUCAAAGGACAACGGAGGAAGAGAGACAAAGUGCCUGGAUGUGUGUGUUAAUCAAGAGUUGUCAGGACCCUGCCUCUAAAAGAAAGCGCUAAAAUGAUGCUUUUGACAAGACUUUUCUCAAAGUGGAUGCAGUCUAAGGGUUGGAAAACAAGGCCCAAUCAGGCUAGGUCUGACUUGUCGCCUGCUUUUGUAAAUAAAGUUUUAUUGGCUCACAGACA